GAGUGAACGCUGGCGGUAGGCCUAACACAUGCAAGUCGAACGGCAGCACAGUAAGAGCUUGCUCUUACGGGUGGCGAGUGGCGGACGGGUGAGGAAUACAUCGGAAUCUACUUUUUCGUGGGGGAUAACGUAGGGAAACUUACGCUAAUACCGCAUACGACCUACGGGUGAAAGCAGGGGAUCUUCGGACCUUGCGCGAUUGAAUGAGCCGAUGUCGGAUUAGCUAGUUGGCGGGGUAAAGGCCCACCAAGGCGACGAUCCGUAGCUGGUCUGAGAGGAUGAUCGGCCACACUGGAACUGAGACACGGUCCAGACUCCUACGGGAGGCAGCAGUGGGGAAUAUUGGACAAUGGGCGCAAGCCUGAUCCAGCCAUACCGCGUGGGUGAAGAAGGCCUUCGGGUUGUAAAGCCCUUUUGUUGGGAAAGAAAAGCAGCAGGUUAAUACCCCGCUGUUCCGACGGUACCCAAAGAAUAAGCACCGGCUAACUUCGUG
rnacentral:rRNA from 1 species